GGAUGAGACAGAGAACCAUUUUUCUUCCGAAAAACUUCAAAUAAAUUGAGAUAAAAAAAUUACACGUUGUUAAAUAAAUCAGAGGUCUUAUGACAUCUCUAAUACUUUAUAAGACAUGUUUGACUUGACUUAUGUAUUUAAAAUAACUAGCAAGGUAUUCUUUAAAUGCUAAAACAUAAAUCACAAAUGGAAAGCUUUGAUUUAUGUUAAUGGCAGAUAACGUGUGGGAUGUGGCAAGUGAGCGCUGACUUUUGCAGUCUUCCCCAGGUGGGGUGACAGAGCUACAGAGCACAGGAGAAAAUGCUGCCUUAGGCUCCAUUUGUUGACUCAUAGGUGCAGGCUGUCUCCUAGGACGUGAUGGAAUUUUGCUAAGAACUUUCACUUCUGUUUCAGAUAACCGGACUGUAGUGAAAGCUGCUGGGCAGGUCUCAGCAACUCCAUGUCACCGUGGCAGACCAAAUGUGUGCAGAAGUCUGCAAGGAGCAUGGAGAACUUGGAACAGAUUAUCUUCUUAGGUGCACACAGGCUGACAAUCUACGGACACAUACCCUCAAAAUAAACCGGGGCUACUUUGUGUCUGCCUGUGCCUGCCCUUCUUCCUUUUCCACUCAGGAAAUCACAUCAGCAGGGUUGCAGACAACAUACACUGACUCUGGCUAGAACUUAUUGGAUGAACAGUCAGAUCCUGAAAUUUAGGAGUUGAAGCAGCAAGCAGUUUGAUGAUACAAGCCGUGGUGGACCUCUGGGGCCUCAGAAGCAGAUGGUUAUGGAUCUUCCUCUGGAAUGUUGAUGGCUUUAUUUCUCAUCUUUAGUGACCUGUCAUUGGUUGCCAGGAAGACAGGGCCGUGUCCCAAACAUGGACACUGCUGUCACUUCGCUGAUUCAGGAAUACUCUGCAGGGCAAAGGGAAUGUUGGGAGACUAAUGCAUUUUAAAGGGUUUCUUUUUUUUGUAUAUUUUAUUUGAAAUGUUUUGUUUGGUACUAUGGAAAAAAUAAUUUUAGAGACAACAAAUGUUAUCAAUGUAGGUAACAGUUUACCAUAAAAGAGAGACAUAGGAAAUAUUUAUGUGCUGGGCUGGAGGCGUAGCUCAGUGGUAGAAUGCAUGAGACCCUGGGUUCAAUCCCAAGAAAACCUCCUCCCCCUUAAAAAAUGCAGAAAAUAGUUACAGGAUGAAAUUUCAGAACACCACUGAAAGUUUUUAAAGGUUUUGUUGAGGCACAGUUGACAUAUAACAAAGUUCACAUAUUUGAAAUCAUGGUUUGGUAUAUUUUGGUACUGAUGAUGCACAUCUGGAAAACUGCCACUAUGAUGAAGACAAUGACUGUCUUCCACCCCUGGAUAUCUCCUUGUGCCUUUGUGUUCCUUCCCUCAGCCCCUGCCAUCCCUAAGCACCCACUGCCUAUGUCCCUUAGAUUGACUCAAUUUUUCUAGUGUGUCAUAUAAAUGGAAUCAUACAGUGCAUGUCUUCUUUUUGACUCAGUAUGACUACUGUGAGACUCAUCCAUGUUACAGUAGACAGCAGUGCUUUGUUUCUUUAUAUGAGUGACUAAUGCUGAAUAGAUUAUACAGCUUGUUUAUUUAUUAGUUAGCAAGCAUUUUACUUAUUUCUGUCUGGGGAUAUUAUCAAUAAAAAUGUUAUAACAAUUUGUGUACA
rnacentral:lncRNA from 1 species